GACGAACCGUGCGAACGUUAUUCGGAAUCACUGGGCUUAAAGCGCGUGUAGGCGGGUCGGUGCGUCGGCCGCUGAAAGCCCCCGGCUCAACCGGGGAAGCGGCGCCGAUACGGCCGGCCUGGAGGGGGGUAGGGGGACCUGGAACUUCCGGUGGAGCGGUGAAAUGCGUUGAGAUCGGAAGGAACGCCCGUGGCGAAAGCGAGGUCCUGGACCCUUUCUGACGCUGAGACGCGAAAGCGUGGGGAGCAAACAGG
rnacentral:rRNA from 1 species